rnacentral:rRNA from 1 species
AUUGAACGCUGGCGGCAGGCCUAACACAUGCAAGUCGAACGAGUGGCGGAGGGGUGAGUAAUUGCUGGGAACCUGCCCGAUGGAGGGGUAUAACUACUGGAAACGGUAGCUACUACCGCAUACCAUCGGAUGUGCCCAGGUGGGAUUAGCUAGUGGGUGUGGUAACGGCUCACCUAGGCGACGAUUCCUAGCUGGUCUGAGAGGAUGACCAGCCACACUGGAACUGAGACACGGCCCAGACUCCUACGGGAGGCAGCAGUGGGGAAUCUUGCACAAUGGGCGCAAGCCUGACGCAGCCACGCCGCGUGUAUGAAGAAGGCCUUCGGGUUGUAAAGCACUUUCAUCGAGGAGGCGUUACUCACAGAAGAAGCACCGGCUAACUCCGUGCCAGCAGCCGCGGUAAUUC